GUCACUUUUUGGUGUGUCUGACAUUUAACACACAACAUAAAUUAAAAUUUUUCGCUUGCCAAAUACAAAUAAUAAAUAAAAAGCACUCGCAGCCAGUCGCCUGUCCAGGCUAUUGGCGAAUAAGUGAGCCAGUUACCAGCAAUUGUAGAAGGAAUUAACCGCAAUUAGCACAUCAACAAAUGGCGUUUAAUUAAUUGCGUUUGGUUAAUUGAAUUUUCGGCAUUUCAUUGCCAACUGAAAAGUAAAUUCGAGUGAACGCGCGUCAGCUGUAAAUGCCUUAAUCAAAUGUUAAUAGCUUAAUCAAUAUGCCAUAAAUAAAUUUCUAUAUGUAA